GUAGGGUGCGAGCGUUGUCCGGAAUUAUUGGGCGUAAAGAGCUCGUAGGCGGUGUGUCGCGUCGGCCGUGAAAACCUGCAGCUUAACUGUGGGCGUGCGGUCGAUACGGGCAUCACUGGAGUUCGGCAGGGGAGACUGGAAUUCCUGGUGUAGCGGUGAAAUGCGCAGAUAGCAGGAGGAACACCGGUGGCGAAGGCGGGUCUCUGGGCCGAUACUGACGCUGAGGAGCGAAAGCGUGGGGAGCGAACAGGAUUAGAUACCCUGGUAGUCCACGCCGUAACGUUGGGCGCUAGGUGUGGGGGCCAUUCCACGGUUUCUGUGCCGCAGCUAACGCAUUAAGCGCCCCGCCUGGGGAGUACGGCCGCAAGGCUA
rnacentral:rRNA from 1 species